rnacentral:lncRNA from 1 species
CGUCCGGUACUCCUCUCAAGUGUCGGAUGUGCUCUCGCCUCAAACCGGCGAACCAGACUUGGGAAGAGCACAAGAAGGACUGCCUUCGCCACCUGCAGGAGCAGAUGGCCCGACUGCAGGAGAAGACGGCUAGUCUAAACGCGAACCGACCGGCUAAUUAGGACGCUGGCAAGCGCGAGGGGGUGUUUUGCAAGCAGGCGGUAGCACG